rnacentral:rRNA from 1 species
UACGUAGGGUGCGAGCGUUGUCCGGAAUUAUUGGGCGUAAAGAGCUCGUAGGCGGUCUGUCGCGUCGGUCGUGAAAACUUGGGGCUUAACCCUGAGCUUGCGGUCGAUACGGGCAUGACUGGAGUUCGGCAGGGGGGACUGGAAUUCCUGGUGUAGCGGUGAAAUGCGCAGAUAUCAGGAGGAACACCGGUGGCGAAGGCGGGUCUCUGGGCCGAUACUGACGCUGAGAAGCGAAAGCGUGGGGAGCGAACAGG